GACGAGCGCUGGCGGCGUGCCUAAUACAUGCAAGUCGAGCGGACGAAUCGAAAGCUUGCUUUUGAUUCGUUAGCGGCGGACGGGUGAGUAACACGUGGGCAACCUGCCCUGUAGACGGGGAUAACACCGAGAAAUCGGUGCUAAUACCGGAUAACACGAAAUGUCGCAUGACGUUUCGUUGAAAGACGGCGCAAGCUGUCGCUACAGGAUGGGCCCGCGGCGCAUUAGCUAGUUGGUGAGGUAACGGCUCACCAAGGCGACGAUGCGUAGCCGACCUGAGAGGGUGAUCGGCCACACUGGGACUGAGACACGGCCCAGACUCCUACGGGAGGCAGCAGUAGGGAAUCUUCCGCAAUGGACGAAAGUCUGACGGAGCAACGCCGUGUGAGCGAAGAAGGCCUUCGGGUCGUAAAGCUCUGUUGUUAGGGAAGAACAAGUAACGCAGUAACUGGCGUUACCGUGACGGUACCUAACGAGAAAGCCACGGCUAACUACGUG
rnacentral:rRNA from 1 species